CUUAACAAUGACCACUAGAGGGAGCCACAGACUGUUUGCCAUCAAUGGAUGAUGUCAUGUUGACGGUUCACCAACAGAUGAUGUAGAUGAAGGUCCAGAUGGUUCAGAGUCUCAGUGUUCUUCCUCUCUCUCCUCCCCUCUCACUGCAGACAUGAAACACUGGCUGACAAACAUCCUGAUUCUGACUCUCUGGCUCGAGUGUAAAGGAGAAGACAGAGUGAUCCAGCCCAAAGCAGAUGUCAUUGCUGCUGAAGGACACCACGUCACACUUCAAUGUUCCUUUGAAACCAGCACCGCAAGUCCUGGUUUGUUCUGGUACCAACAAGAACUAAAUAGUUCUCCAAAGUUUAUGCUGAAACGUUUCAGUUUUGGAGGAGGACAAAAUGCUGCAGAGUUCAACAAAGAGAGAUUUGAUGCUGAAGUCAACAAGACAUCAGUUGAUCUGAAGAUCCAGAAGCUGCAGCUGCGAGACUCUGCUGUGUACUACUGUGCUCUGCAGCCCACAGUGACAGCAAGCAGCAAAAGAGAGGACAAAAACACUACACAACCACCACUAGGUCAGAUUGGGGGACUGAUGAUGCACUUUAUUGAACACGGUACUUCCACAUUUAGAGGGGACUAA